ACCAAUUCUCGGGGAUAUGUUGUUCCUCUAGGUAUAAUGGCUAGGACGCUAUAUUUAUGUUGUGGUCAUCCUGAUUGAUGGUUUCUUUAUAAUACCAUUUGGUCUUGGAAACGCCACCAACAUUG